UGGAGAUACACGGAGCCCAGAGGAAGCAGGGAGGGUGGAGGCAGGGGCCACCCUGCUGAGCGGGAGUCAGGAGAGCCCUGCACGGAGGAGCAUGCCCCGAUUGUCUGAACACGAGAGGUGAGAAGCGCCACCUUCAAGUGAACGUCACCAACCCAGUACAGUGCAGCCUGCACGGGAAGAAGUGCACCGUCUCCGUGGAGACGCGGCUCAACCAGCCCCAGCCCGACUUCACCAAGAAUCGCUCGGGCUUCAUCCUCAGCGUGCCCGGGAACUGACGCCCCGCGGAGGCCUGGCCCGGAGCCCGGCCACACUCCGAGUCCUGGGUCCCAGUCCAGCUGCUGCCUCCCAACCCAUGCCCGCUAGAAACCUGCUGCGAGGGCCCCUCCCAGAGGAGCCCCGCCCCUGUAAGAUUUCCUUCCUGGUUUUCUGCCUUUGGUAUCAUCUUCCUCUGUCCUUACUGUCCACGGUCCCUGUUCAAUAAGCCAAAGACCCUGGUGCCCCGCCCAGACCCCUGGGCUGACGUCCAGACCAAUCUCACCCCAGAGGCAACUGGAUGGUGCCUUUAGUUGGUGCGGAUGCCC
rnacentral:lncRNA from 1 species